CCCUUGUCCUUAGUUGCUACGCAAGAGCACUCUAAGGAGACUGCCGGUGACAAACCGGAGGAAGGUGGGGAUGACGUCAAGUCCUCAUGGCCCUUAUGGGUAGGGCUUCACACGUCAUACAAUGGUCGGAACAGAGGGUUGCCAACCCGCGAGGGGGAGCUAAUCCCAGAAAACCGAUCGUAGUCCGGAUUGCACUCUGCAACUCGAGUGCAUGAAGCUGGAAUCGCUAGUAAUCGCGGAUCAGCAUGCCGCGGUGAAUACGUUCCCGGGUCUU
rnacentral:rRNA from 1 species